AAGUCGUAACAAGGUCUCCGUAGGUGAACCUGCGGAGGGAUCAUUACAGAGUUCAUGCCCUUCGGGGUAGACCUCCCACCCCUGCGUAUUUAUACCCUUGUUGCUUUGGCAGGCCGCUCGGCUUCGGCCAGGCUACCGGCCCCGGCUGGUACGUGCCUGCCAGAGGACCCCAAACUCUGAAUUAGUGUCGUCUGAGUACUAUAUAAUAGUUAAAA
rnacentral:misc_RNA from 1 species